AUUGAACGCUGGCGGCAUGCCUUACACAUGCAAGUCGAACGGCAGCACGGGAGCAAUCCUGGUGGCGAGUGGCGAACGGGUGAGUAAAGUAUCGGAACGUGCCCAGUCGUGGGGGAUAACGUAGCGAAAGUUACGCUAAUACCGCAUACGAUCUAUGGAUGAAAGCGGGGGAUCGCAAGACCUCGCGCGAUUGGAGCGGCCGAUAUCAGAUUAGGUAGUUGGUGGGGUAAAGGCUCACCAAGCCGACGAUCUGUAGCUGGUCUGAGAGGACGACCAGCCAAACUGGGACUGAGACACGGCCCAGACUCAUACGGGAGGCAGCGGUGGGGAAUUUUGGACAAUGGGCGAAAGCCUGAUCCAGCCAUGCCGCGUGCAGGAUGAAGGCCUUCGGGUUGUAAACUGCUUUUGUACGGAACGAAAAGGUUUGGCCUAAUAAGCUGAGCUCAUGACGGUACCGUAAGAAUAAGCACCGGCUAACUACGUGCCAGCCGCCGCGGUAA
rnacentral:rRNA from 1 species